rnacentral:rRNA from 1 species
UACGUAGGGGGCAAGCGUUGUCCGGAAUCAUUGGGCGUAAAGCGCGUGUAGGCGGCCCCGUAAGUCGGAUGUGAAAACUCGGGGCUCAACCCCGAGACGCCAUCCGAUACUGCGGUGACUUGAGUCUGGUAGGGGAACACGGAAUUCCUGGUGUAGCGGUGAAAUGCGCAGAUAUCAGGAGGAACACCGAUGGCGAAGGCAGUGUUCUGGGCCAGUACUGACGCUGAGGAGCGAAAGCGUGGGGAGCAAACAGG